AUACCUUCUCGGCCUUUUGGCUAUGAUCAAGUGUAGUAUCUGUUCUUAUCAGUGUGACAACUGAUAUGGGUCCAACUGGACCCAAUUAUGUCACAACAAUUUUUGUUUGGGGAAGGGUCUACCUCGAGCUUGCUCGGGUACCCUUCACGCGUUGCCUCUCCCUUACACUAACCGGAUUGAGCGGCGCACCCGCC
rnacentral:snRNA from 1 species